rnacentral:rRNA from 1 species
CCGGGAUUUUUGGAAGGAUUUUGGCGAUUUCCCCCAAUUACGUGGGUACCCUGCCCUUUUCUCUGGGAUAAACCAGUUGAAACUGGGUCUAAUACCUUUUAGGAGCGCCUACCGCAUGGUGGGUGUUGGAAAGAUUUAUCGGUUUUGGAUGGACUCGCGGCCUAUCAGCUUGUUGGUGAGGUAAUGGCUCACCAAGGCGACGACGGGUAGCCGGCCUGAGAGGGUGACCGGCCACACUGGGACUGAGACACGGCCCAGACUCCUACGGGAGGCAGCAGUGGGGAAUAUUGCACAAUGGGCGCAAGCCUUGAUGCAGCGACGCCGCGUGAGGGAUGACGGCCUUCGGGUUGUAAACCUCUUUCAGUAGGGAAGAAGCGAAAGUGACGGUACCUGCAGAAGAAGCACCCGGCUAACUACGUGCCAGCAGCCGCGGUAAUACGUAGGGUGCGAGCGUUAUCCUGGAAUUAUUGGGCGUAAAGAGCUCGUAGGCGGUUUGUCGCGUCUGUCGUGAAAGUCCCGGGGCUUAACCCCGGAUCUGCGGUGGGUACGGGCAGACUAGAGUGCAGUAGGGGAGACUGGAAUUCCUGGUGUAGCGGUGGAAUGCGCAGAUAUCAGGAGGAACACCGAUGGCGAAGGCAGGUCUCUGGGCUGUAACUGACGCUGAGGAGCGAAAGCAUGGGGAGCGAACAGGAUUAGAUACCCUGGUAGUCCAUGCCGUAAACGUUGGGCACUAGGUGUGGGGACCAUUCCACGGUUUCCGCGCCGCAGCUAACGCAUUAAGUGCCCCGCCUGGGGAGUACGGCCGCAAGGCUAAAACUCAAAGGAAUUGACGGGGGCCCGCACAAGCGGCGGAGCAUGCGGAUUAAUUCGAUGCAACGCGAAGAACCUUACCAAGGCUUGACAUGUUCUCGAUCGCCGUAGAGAUACUGGUUUCCCCUUUGGGGCGGGUUCACAGGUGGUGCAUGGUUGUCGUCAGCUCGUGUCGUGAGAUGUUGGGUUAAGUCCCGCAACGAGCGCAACCCUCGUUCCAUGUUGCCAGCACGUAGUGGUGGGGACUCAUGGGAGACUGCCGGGGUCAACUCGGAGGAAGGUGAGGACGACGUCAAAUCAUCAUGCCCCUUAUGUCUUGGGCUUCACGCAUGCUACAAUGGCCGGUACAAUGGGUUGCGAUACUGUGAGGUGGAGCUAAUCCCAAAAAGCCGGUCUCAGUUCGGAUUGGGGUCUCAACUCGACCCCAUGAAGUCGGAGUCGUUAGUAAUCGCAGAUCAGCAACGAUUCGGUGAAUACGUUCCCGUGCUACCUACACACCCCCCAUCAAGCCAAAAAAGUCGAAAACACCUGCAAAAGGCCCCCCGAAAAAUGAAUGAGCAACU